GGAUAGCUCAGUUGGUUAGAGCAUGGUACUGAGGAUGCCAAGGUUGCAGGUUCGAUCCCCGCGAGGAACA